rnacentral:lncRNA from 1 species
CCGCCACCAGCAGGAAGCGCCGAAUUUGGACCCGCGGCUGGUGUAGCGCCGCGGGUGACUUGGGGAGGCCAGUUUGUGCGUCCCCCGCCCACGCCUCGCGCAGGCGCCUUUCCCCACGCAUCCGUGACUCGGCCCAGCGUAGGGACAGGAGCCACUCUGUGUAGCCCAGCCUGCAGUGACUGGUGAAACCGGA